AGAAAGAAAGAAAAGGGGUUGUGGUACUGGGAUAUUGCAGCUUUUGGAAUGUUCAUCUUUUCUUUAAAUCUAUUUUCAUUAAUAUUAAGAGAGGAACAGAUAAAGGUCAAUAGGCUGUGUGAAUGAGCUGUUAGGAGUUAGUUAGAAGCUCACAGCGGCAUUUAAGCAGGUACAAUCAGUGAAAUGCUAGUGGAUUUGCAAGUUAUGAGCAGAAAAUUCAACUCUAAAUCACUGUCAUCAUGGCUUAAACAACUGUUACGGG
rnacentral:lncRNA from 1 species